rnacentral:rRNA from 1 species
UACAGAGGUCUCAAGCGUUGUUCGGAUUCAUUGGGCGUAAAGGGUGCGUAGGCGGCGCGGUAAGUCGGGUGUGAAAUCUUGGAGCUUAACUCCGAAACUGCAUUCGAUACUGCCGUGCUUGAGGACUGGAGAGGAGACUGGAAUUUACGGUGUAGCGGUGAAAUGCGUAGAUAUCGUAAGGAAGACCAGUGGCGAAGGCGGGUCUCUGGACAGUUCCUGACGCUGAUGCGCGAAAGCUAGGGGAGCAAACGGG